CCACAGAAUGAGAAAAAUUGUUUGAAUCAAUCAGUAGAACUAUGAUACAUUGCCGAGUACCAACAGAAAAUAGCAUGGCAACUAGGCGGCUCUAACUUUGCAGGUCACUAUCUGAAAGACUGAAACAUGCUAAAGCAUUUUACAUUCAGUGACGAACAAUAUAACAUGGAAACUACUAAAUAAAUUCUACUACUACUAGCAAUCAAGCAACAGAACCCUCAUUCUCUAAGUGAUACCUUAAGAACUGGCUCCCCACUGUUCGGGUUUGCAGAUUGCUUUGCAGCCGCAGCUAUCUGUGCACGUGCAGCCUUUCCUGCAGCAGACUGAUCAAAUUGCUAUUGCCUCUUCUCGGCGGCUUCGGCAGCUUUAGAUCGAGCUUCGAGAGAGGCUUUCUGUUCUUCUUCUUUUCUCUGCUGCUGCUUCUUGCCUCCAUCGAAGCAGGCAAAGCACCUCAUCUCUCUCUCU